rnacentral:rRNA from 1 species
UUAGUGGCGGACUGGUGAGUAACACGUAAGCAAUCUACCUAUUAGAGGGGAAUAACAAUGAGAAAUCAUUGCUAAUACCGCAUAAGCUUGUAGUACCGCAUGGUACAGCAAGAAAAGGAGCAAUCCGCUAAUAGAUGAGCUUGCGGCUGAUUAGCUAGUUGGUGUGGUAACGGCAUACCAAGGCAACGAUCAGUAGCCGGGCUGAGAGGCUCUUCGGCCACAUUGGGACUGAGAUACGGCCCAGACUCCUACGGGAGGCAGCAGUCGGGAAUUUUGCGCAAUGGAGGAAACUCUGACGCAGUGACGCCGCGUAUAGGAAGAAGGUUUUCGGAUUGUAAACUCCUGUCGUUAGGGACGAUAAUGACGGUACCUAACAAGAAAGCACCGGCUAACUACGUGCCAGCAGCCGCGGUAAAACGUAGGGUGCAAGCGUUGUCCGGAAUUACUGGGUGUAAAGGGAGCGCAGGCGGGAAGACAAGUUGGAAGUGAAAACCAUGGGCUCAACCCAUGAAUUGCUUUCAAAACUGUUUUUCUUGAGUAGUGCAGAGGUAGAUGGAAUUCCCGGUGUAGCGGUGGAAUGCGUAGAUAUCGGGAGGAACACCAGUGGCGAAGGCGGUCUACUGGGCACCAACUGACGCUGAGGCUCGAAAGCAUGGGUAGCAAACAGGAUUAGAUACCCUGGUAGUCCAUGCCGUAAACGAUGAUUACUAGGUGUUGGGGGAUUGACCCCCUCAGUGGCGCAGUUAACACAAUAAGUAGUCCACCUGGGGAGUACGUUCGCAAGAAUGAAACUCAAAGGAAUUGACGGGGACCCGCACAAGCGGUGGAGCAUGUGGUUUAAUUCGAAGCAACGCGAAGAACCUUACCUGCUCUUGACAUCUCCCUGACCGGCAAGUAAUGUUGCCUUUCCUUCGGGACAGGGAUGACAGGUGGUGCAUGGUUGUCGUCAGCUCGUGUCGCGAGAUGUUGGGUUAAGUCCCGCAACGAGCGCAACCCCUAUCUUUAGUAGCCAGCGGUCAGGCCGGGCACUCUAGAGAGACUGCCAGGGAUAACCUGGAGGAAGGUGGGGAUGACGUCAAAUCAUCAUGCCCCUUACGAGCAGGGCUACGCAUGUGCUACAAUGGCGUAAACAAAGGGAGGCAGAACCGCGAGGUCGAGCAAAUCCCAAAAAUAACGUCUCAGUUCGGAUUGUAGUCUGCAACUCGACUACAUGAAACUGGAAUCGCUAGUAAUCGCGAAUCAGAAUGUCGCGGUGAAUACGUUCCCGGGUCUUGCACACACCGCCCGUCA